GACGAACGCUGGCGGCGUGCUUAACACAUGCAAGUCGAACGGAAAGGCCCUGCUUGCCGGGUACUCGAGUGUCGAACGGGUGAGUAACACGUGGGUGAUCUGCCCUGCACUUCGGGAUAAGCCUGGGAAACUGGGUCUAAUACCGGAUAGGAGCCAUUUUUAGUGUGAUGGUUGGAAAGUUUUUUUCGGUGUAGGAUGAGCUCGCGGCCUAUCAGCUUGUUGGUGGGGUAAUGGCCUACCAAGGCGGCGACGGGUAGCCGGCCUGAGAGGGUGGACGGCCACAUUGGGACUGAGAUACGGCCCAGACUCCUACGGGAGGCAGCAGUGGGGAAUAUUGCACAAUGGGCGCAAGCCUGAUGCAGCGACGCCGCGUGGGGGAUGACGGCCUUCGGGUUGUAAACUCCUUUCGCUAGGGACGAAGCUUUUUGUGACGGUACCUAGAUAAGAAGCACCGGCUAACUACGUG
rnacentral:rRNA from 1 species